rnacentral:rRNA from 1 species
UACAGAGGUCCCGAGCGUUGUCCGGAUUCAUUGGGCGUAAAGGGUGCGUAGGCGGCGGGGCAAGUCUGAUGUGAAAUCCUGGGGCUCAACCCCAGAACUGCAUUGGAUACUGCUUUGCUAGAGUACUGGAGAGGGAACUGGAAUUUACGGUGUAGCAGUGAAAUGCGUAGAGAUCGUAAGGAAGGCCAGUGGCGAAGGCGAGUUCCUGGACAGUGACUGACGCUGAGGCACGAAGGCCAGGGGAGCAAACGGG